ACCACCAGAACCACCACCUAACCCAGGACAAAAACGACAGUGAAACAAUACAACAAUAAUGAUUUUAAACAAAAAUAAUUAGCACAACUCCGGCGCCCUCCGGCCUGCGAUCGCUUCUCUGAUCAAGUGCAGCACUGUUGAGGUCACUACACGUGAUCUUAGCCAAAAGGCCGAGAAGCGAUCUUCGUAAUUAUGGCAGUCGUUCUAACCGAGAGGGGAGAGAGAAAAAAAACACCCUGAUAGGAGGCAUUUUAUCUUCAUCACUGGACCGCUCAAUUCCAAUUAAUUUGACAAGAUUUCCCUCACGCGAAGCGCAAAUCCCUAUUAAAAGACGCAUACUGUAAAUGACAACCCUCUAAACGCUUCGCGUGUCCGAAUGAAAUGGAAGAGGAGAGAAAGGGAACGACAAAAGGUUAAGACGCAGCUUCCCGGAGUUAUUUCCCGGCAGAGCGCCCUAAGCCACAGUCAUUGGCCCUAAGCCAGCCCCCUCCCGAGUGCUCCUAGUGUUUCUAUAGUAAUUUCUAACCAAUGAUCAGUAGGUGUCCACAUCCUAGCUUCCUCACCUCAGCACCAAUCAGCCACACACAGCGACAGGAGACAGCACGGAGCUAACACUAGGCAGCCACACACAAUACACCUCGGACCAAGCAGAGGAAACACCUACAACGCACCGUUAUUUCCCCCCUACAGCGCCGUGGUUUUAUAAUAAUAAACCGUUUUUUUUCUUCUAAAAAGCUCGAUAAGCUAUCGCUUUAAGUUUGCUAUUUUUUUGUACUUUUUUUCUCAAGCCAGGAAAAUAAGUCUGUAAACAUGCUCCUUUUGUUUUGAGCGCUCUUUUUCAGUGUGGCUGUGCUCUUCCCACAUCCUCGCGUUAUUUUAUAUCUCCAUCGCGCCUUGCGGUAAUGUGCCGCUCUGUGUUGGCAGCCGACUGCUAGGCGUCUGGAAUCUCUUCUCGCCAGGAACCUGGUAGUGCUGGAGGAGACAGAAGCAGGAUGGUAACAUAUUGUUGGUGGUAACCAGCAGCUUCUAGUUUGACGAAGGCCACCGUUGACGGCGACCCCGGACUCUUUCCCCAGUGAACCCUGCUCAACCGUCCCCCAGCCAUGUCUAAUAUAAACAAUGCUCUCUGCAUUGAGAACGGACAGAACGCAGACGUGUCUCUCUUACAAAAGGAUAACCUUCAGAACCUGCAGAACCUGCAGAACUUGCAGAACCUCCAGGAUGGUGGAUUAAGCCAACUUUUGGAUUAUAACGCUGAGAUGGAACGGUACCGCUCUUUCGCAAACUUUUACAAAACCAACGGCGCGUUCGGCCAGACGGCCAAGAUCGCCCGCAUCACGACCCCCAUUUUCCCCAGUGCCCGGAUAGGCAUGUCCCCGUGGAACUGCGAUAACGCCAUGCUCUGGGGGAGGAAAUCGGCCACAAUAAACCCUAAUAGGACCAGCAUGCACAGGAAUGACUCCCAGAGGCCGGGGAAGCAUGGCGUGCCGCCAGAAACGCUACAGCAAAUGGCAAAUAAUAAUUUCCUCUCUACCUUAUCCCCCGAACACUGCAGACCUUUAGCGGGAGAAUGCAUGAACAAGCUGAAAUGCGGCGCCGGCGAAGCAGAGAUAAUGAAUCUCCAGGAACGUGUCGGAACUUUUUCCGCCAUUCCGGCUUUAGGGGGCAUCUCAUUACCUCCCGGGGUCAUCGUCAUGACAGCCCUUCACUCCCCCGCAGCCUCGGCAGCCGUUACAGACAGUGCGUUUCAAAUUGCCAAUCUGGCAGACUGCCCACAGAAUAAUUCCUCUGCGUCCGGCGGGAACCCGGCGAAGAAGAAAAGGAAGCGGUGCGGGGUGUGCGCGCCCUGCCGGCGGCUAAUCAACUGCGGCGUGUGCAGCAGUUGUCGGAACCGUAAGACGGGCCACCAGAUCUGCAAGUUCAGGAAAUGUGAGGAGCUGAAAAAGAAACCGGGCUCGUCGCUGGAGAGGACACCAGUCAACAAUGGCGAGGCAUUCCGGUGGUUCUUUUAGAGCGCCCGACCUUAGUGACAUCAACACGCGGUCAGAGGUCCAGUUAGAACUCUGACAUCACUGCAGGAAGCACUGGGGGUUCAGAGAACCCAAACAACCUCCCAGUUUUUAAACCAGGAGGCAGAAACUCUAAAAAGAUGAAACGAUAAACAUUAUGGUGUUGGUUUAACUCUGUCAUUUCCUUUCCUGUGUAAUUAUUGUACCUUUUGACAGUAUCAUAAUGUCUAUUUUCGGUGUAUAUGAAUGUGUUUCAGUGUCGUUUGGCUGUAAAGUUUACAGUCAAUCUUAUGUAAAGGACUCAAUGGACAAUCAUCACCAAUACGUCAACAACAAAGAUGGCCGCUGCUGGGAUUGAUCAUGUGAUCGUCACACACAACCUUGGAGCAAUAAUCUUUAAAGUUGAUUAUUCUGCUUGUGUUUUCCCUUUAUUUCCGUUUUCAAAUUAUUAUAUCGAAGCUGAAUUAUUUUUUAUAAAAUGUGUCAUUUUUGUUUAAUGCUUGCAUUCCCUGUUUGUGUGUGUGCGCGCGCCUCUGACUGAGGGAAACUAUAAGGUCCUCCUUGGUAAAUGUGAUGUAUCAUAUAAGUGACGCACCAUGCCAGAGAGAACGGCAUUAUUAUUUAGAUGCUUUCAUUGGGGGUUUCUUUCAGUUUUUGUCCAGCGCGUUACGAAACAGGGCACAUUGUCUUGUGUAGCGAGUUGUACUUUAUUGGAAAACAAAAAGGAGCAUCGUUGUGUUACAGUUACUGCACAAAGGGGUGGUUGUGAGUCAGACUGUUUCUCUUUGGUUUUGAUACGCUUUAAAGAUGCUGUUAUGAUUCGCUAUUUCAUGUAACUGUCUUGCCACCUCCUGACCAUCCUCUGGUUUUUGUUUGAAAUACAAAGGUCAUCUUAUAGGUAACACUAUACUUAAAUCCUGCAGGUAUAAUGCUUCAUUACUUGUUUAUUAGCAGGUAUAAUGCUUUAUUGCUUGUUUAUAAGCAGGUAUAAUGCUUCAUUACUUGUUUAUAAGCAGGUAUAAUGCUUCAUUACUUGUUAUUAGCAGGUAUAAUGCUUUAUUGCUUGUUUAUAAGCAGGUAUAAUGCUUCAUUACUUGUUAUUAGCAGGUAUAAUGCUUCAUUACUUGUUUAUAAGCAGGUAUAAUGCUUCAUUACUUGUUAUAAGCAUGUAAUGUCCGUUACAAUGUCUUAUGAGGUUUAUGAUAUAUACUUGCAGACUAAGUAAAGUGUUACCGGUUAUUACACCCAAGCUGUCUAAAAGGGAGGUAUUAAUAAUACUAGUAAAGGAAUUCUGAGGUUAAAUUAACAUGAUUCAAAUGGAAUAUUAAGUCAACAGUACAGUUUACAUAUCUGACAACAGUUAUAUACAUUAUAACUGAUAUGUUCACUGUGAGUAUCUGUCUGACUACAGUUAUUCUGGAAGUACGGGACUUUCCAUACCUUUCUCCUGCAGAGACCACAAUAACAACAAAUGUCUGUUGAGCUGAAGCAAGAAGUGAACACAUUCCAAAAACGACAAAAAUUAUUCAAUAAAUGACUCAUCGUCUUCAAAACCCUAUUGUUGCAUGUGUAAAUGUGUUUUGGUUUUAAAGAUUAACAAGAAUUUGUAUAUUGUUGUUGUGAUGCUUUUAUGUGUUAAAAUAAAAAAAAAGGACUAAAAACAAAUAUUUUGAAUGUCAACGAAUAACGCAACAUUUUUAUCCUCACAUUGUACAAUUAAA